UGCAUCAGUCUAAUAUUAUUUAUAUUCACAAGCAAUUACACAACUUAUGAAUUCUCUAAAAAGAAAAUACGCCAACCUGACCAUAGGGGACCUACCUAAAAAAAGAGCUCUUCUUUUACGAUAAGGACUACGGGCAGAUUACACCUACUGGAGUUUUAGUGGGACUAAUACAUUACGACGAGAGAUGUAGCGGCGGCACGUUUUACAAGAAUAAGAUUAAUUAUAAUAAAAAAAGAACAAACGAUAUUAUUAAUAUAGAGACUCGAUAUUGGCAAACAAAAAAACGAGGCUCAUUCGAACGAUUA